UACGUAGGGUGCAAGCGUUGUCCGGAAUUAUUGGGCGUAAAGAGCUCGUAGGCGGCCUGGUAGGUCUGCUGUGAAAACUCGAGGCUCAACCUCGAGAUGUCGGCGGAAACCAUCUGGCUAGAGUCCGGAAGAGGAGAGUGGAAUUCCUGGUGUAGCGGUGAAAUGCGCAGAUAUCAGGAAGAACACCCGUGGCGAAGGCGGCUCUCUGGGACGGUACUGACGCUGAGACGCGAAAGCGUGGGGAGCGAACAGG
rnacentral:rRNA from 1 species